rnacentral:lncRNA from 1 species
CCAAUUCAGCCCACAAUCCAAACCUCACUGAAUGCCAAAUGACAACCCAAGUCAGCCCACAAUCCAAACCAUCCUCAUAUUAUGCAGCACAUACAACACCAUCCACAUCACUUCCUUCAUCGAAGAGCAGAUCAGAAAAAAGUACAACCUAUAAACAGCGGCAUCUCAAUCCCAACACCACGACAAAGAAAUCACAGCAACAAGAGGCGUGCAUGGAAUCAGAACAAAUAUGAGAAGGCUCACAGUUGGAUGAAACAACCCGGAAGGAAGAAUAAGUAUUGCAAAAGGUGACAGCAGAGUGCCAAGUCGAUCAGCGGCUUGAUGGGAACAUGACUUACCGAAUGUAGCGGUAUAGUACUUAGAGAUGCAAACAUGGCACAGAGAAACCUCCUCGAAACCAGAUGAACCAAGCCAACCACCUUAAAAAACAGGUUUGAAAACUAGCCUGUCCAUAUCAAUCGCUGAAGACCUGCAAAGAAACUAAAAGAGAAAAGAGAAAAACACAACAAAAGGGAAAGCCAGCAUCCUUAGCAUGGGCAAUUAAGAAGGUGGAGGAAAAAACAGAAACAAAGAGAUUUUAGGUAGGGGAAAAUGAAAUCAAACCAAAAAACGCGAAACAGCAACCAUCGGAUCACCACAACAAAUAGAUCAAACUCGAGAAUCUUCAAACAAAUCCCAAACUCGUUCCUCUACCCUUUCACACACUCUCUUUCCUUUCUCUCUUAUUUGUACAAAAUUGAUUAUGAUUAAAUUUAUUUCUUUAUCAAAUGUGAUAGAAUUGAAAAAAAUACAAUAUUUUUAGAUUAAGAUGUCGAUAUUAUAAAAUUACCUUAC